rnacentral:sRNA from 1 species
CUAAUUCAUAUUGUAGAGCCUGUAACC